rnacentral:rRNA from 1 species
UACAGAGGUCCCAAGCGUUGUUCGGAUUCACUGGGCGUAAAGGGUGCGUAGGCGGUCGGGUAGGUCUGGCGUGAAAUCUCCAAGCCUAACUUGGAAACUGCGUUGGAUACUAUCCGGCUCGAGGAAUGGAGGGGAGACUGGAAUACUUGGUGUAGCAGUGAAAUGCGUAGAUAUCAAGUGGAACACCAGUGGCGAAGGCGAGUUUCUGGACAUUUCCUGACGCUGAGGCACGAAAGCCAGGGGAGCAAACGGG